GAGGCACGGAAUCCAAACUGGCAACAACAUAUUUAUACUGCCUGGCUGCUACUGGAAUUUGGCCCAUUAGAGAACACUGUGCAUGCUUUCUUACAGACACGGGAUCUCGACAUGACUGGCAACAUGAGCAUUCAUUACCCAUCACUAUAUAACCUGGUGCCUUGCUAGGUAAUUUCAGGAGCAGUUAAGAAUCAUUAGCUGUGGGGUCACGACACAUAGGUCUGACUGGGUAAGGACAGCAGAUUCCUCUUCCUAAAAGGACAUUAGCGAACCACAUGGGGAUUUUUUUUAAUAUGAGAAUUCAAAAGCGUCGUGGUCAUCAUUAACAAUACUAGCUUUUUAAUUCUGAUUUAUUAAAUUGAUUGAAUUUAAAUUCCUCAGCAACCUUUGAGAUUUGAACUCGUGUCUCUGGUACAUUAGUCUCCGAUUACUAGUCCGGUAACAUAGCUACUAAGCUACAAAACCGUCUCAGGAUGUCAGGUUAAGGCUCUCAUCCAUGAUAUAAACUGCAACAAGCAUCACUGCAAACCACAGGCUGCUUCGUUCUGUCUACAAGCUGAUAUGAAACACUGCCACUGAAAGCUGGAAAUGUCUUAAAAAGUUAAUAUCUAGGCAGAUGUCAAGACAGAGGCAACUGUAAAAGAAGGUUCAGCCUCCAGUGAGGAACUCUUAAUACGAGGUGAAUUUGUGAAACCACUUUCAAAGGAGGGAGACAGCAAGUUAACUCGAGGCAUUUUCAAAGAUUUCCAAGCCACACCAACAGAGCACCUGCCCUACAUUGUCAGGGAGUAGGCCUGCCACAAAGAACGAGAAGGGAAGAAAAUUCCUAAUUACGUAUUUAAAAAAUGAAACGUUUCCGAAGGAGUCCAGUGGCACCGGGCUCUUCGGGAUGGAGCAGAGCCUUGCUUGCAGCCGCCGGUUCCUGCUGCUGAAGAUCCUGUAGCACUCAGACUGUGCUUUCCACGACACCGCAGAUCUAUUAAAGCCAGCUGCACAACGCAGCAGUGCAAAUAUUUGGGUAGAUCUGUGCAAAAAGAGAAUCAAAAAGGCACUCAUCCUUCAAAGACUAAAAAAAAGGCUAAAGCUUACAAGAGAUGAAAAAUAUAUAAUCAAACCAAACUGUGCCACUGAUCACAGAAUUCAUCUGUCAAACAUUCUCCAAGGGGAAAGAUUAAACUUAUGUCCAAUUUACAGUUUAGUUUGAUCUGAAAUCAGCAGUGGCCAUUUGCCGAACUAGAGUGCGACUUUCAUUGAAAACUAAGUGGGUAGAUUUCAUUAGCUUUCAGUGGAUUUGCAUAUCCAAGACAUACUUUUUCAUCUUUCUCAUGAUCAUAGCUAAUCACGUGAAAAGUAAGUCAAUUUCUGAAAGACUGUAAUUUAAAAUAAGGUAGAACGGGGCAACCUGACAUAGCUUGCACACCUAUCACGGUGGAUUUAUAAGGGUUACUUUCCUCAUCCAUCAUUUGAUUCUGAGUACAAAAAUCAAUAUGGUUGAGAAAAAUGACUUUGAAGAGUCAGGAGGUAACAGAUGUUUACCAAAAUUAUCAAUAUGGAGCAUUUGCAAUGUUAUUGAGAUUCCCACAUGAUAAGAAAGUGGGGAAUAAAGGAUAAAAAUCAAAAAAGGAACAGCUUGAUCACAUGUCUAAUAAGAACAGAAGAAGUAGGAGCGAGAGCAGGCCAUUCAGGCUCUCAAGUUUGCUCCACCAUUCAACAUGAUCAUGGCUGACCUGAUUGUGGCCUUACUUUCACUCUCCUGCCUGCCCUUAGCCCUCGACUCCAGUGUCAAUAAGAAACCUGACCCUGCCUGCACUGUUCACUGGGGAAGAGAAUUACAGAAGUCUUAAGGAUCCUCAGAGAAGAAAUUCCUCUUUGUCUCCAACUUAAAUGGGAGGCCCCUUAUUUUGAAACUGUGCCCCCAAGUUAUAGA